rnacentral:rRNA from 1 species
UACAGAGGGGGCAAGCGUUGUUCGGAAUUACUGGGCGUAAAGGGCGCGUAGGCGGCCUUCUAAGUCGAACGUGAAAUCCCCGGGCUCAACCCGGGAACUGCGUCCGAUACUGGAAGGCUUGAAUCCGGGAGAGGGAUGCGGAAUUCCAGGUGUAGCGGUGAAAUGCGUAGAUAUCUGGAGGAAUACCGGUGGCGAAGGCGGCAUCCUGGACCAUUACUGACGCUGAAUCGCGAAAGCUAGGGGAGCAAACGGG